AUUGAACGCUGGCGGCAGGCCUAACACAUGCAAGUCGAGCGGACGAAGGAAGCUCGCUCCUGUAUUCAGUGACGGACGGGCGAGUGAUGAAUACGAAUAUACCCUGCCGAUGGGGCUAGCGUCCGGACGGGGGCGCGGAGCUCAUAUCCGAUCAGAGAGAGAACGGGGUGGAUCAUUGGAGCACAACGUAUCUGCUGUGACUAGGACGGAUUAGCUAGUUGGAGGGGUAAAGGCCUACCAAGGCGACGAUCCGUAACUGGGCUGAGAGGAUGAUCAGUCACACUGGAACUGAGACACGGUCCAGACUCCUACGGGAGGCAGCAGUGGGGAAUAUUGGACAAUGGGCGAAAGCCUGAUCCAGCCAUGCCGCGUGUGUGAAGAAGGUCUUCGGAUUGUAAAGCACUUUAAGUUGGGAGGAAGGGCAGUAAGUUAAUACCUUGCUGUUUUGACGUUACCAACAGAAUAAGCACCGGCUAACUUCGUG
rnacentral:rRNA from 1 species